AUUGCAAGCAGGUUAAAUAGAUUACUAGAUGUAGUGAAUGGAGAGAGGGGAAGAGACAAUUAAUCAAUAUAAACUCAAGAGACUUUAUAGUGGUUCGGAGCCAACUCUUGCUCCUACGUCCACUCCCCAAGCCGCACUUGGGAGUUCACUAUAAUCCCUAGGAUUACAGCCGGUUGUUUUACAAGUUCACAACCCAACUUGUU
rnacentral:lncRNA from 1 species